rfam:Asian citrus Psyllid, Diaphorina citri - Florida Strain, whole genome shotgun sequence.
UCCAGCGGCGACAGCACUUUGAAUGUAGUAGUUCCCAAUUGACCUCUGAAGUUAAGCAACAUUGCGCGUAGUCAGUAUCCGCAUGGAUGACCAUUCGGGCAAUCCGUGCUGCUAGCU